UUUGACCUGGCGGCAGGCUUAACACAUGCAAGUCGAGCGGAUGAAGAGAGCUUGCUCUCUGAUUCAGCGGCGGACGAUGCGGUGAGUAAUGCCUAGGAAUCUGCCUGGUAGUGGGGGACAACGUUUCGAAAGGAACGCUAAUACCGCAUACGUCCUACGGGAGAAAGCAGGGGACCUUCGGGCCUUGCGCUAUCAGAUGAGCCUAGGUCGGAUUAGCUAGUUGGUGAGGUAAUGGCUCACCAAGGCGACGGAUCCCGUAACUGGUCUGAGAGGAUGAUCAGUCACACUGGAACUGAGACACGGUCCAGACUCCUACGGGAGGCAGCAGUGGGGAAUAUUGGACAAUGGGCGAAAGCCUGAUCCAGCCAUGCCGCGUGUGUGAAGAAGGUCUUCGGAUUGUAAAGCACUUUAAGUUGGGAGGAAGGCUGUACUUAAUACUCUGCAUUUUGACGUUACCGACAGAAUAAGCACCGCUAACUCUGUGCAGAACCGCGGUAUC
rnacentral:rRNA from 1 species